CAAGAUUCCUGUGCUCGACCAUCAUUUACAGACGUGUGUCCCUGAAUCCGUGGCAGCAUGGGGAGCUGGUGGAGAAGGAGAACUGGCUACCUCCGGGUCCCAUCACCAUUGGGAUUACUUCAGGCGCAUCCACCCCAGAUAAGGUAACUCGCGGACCCCUGAUAUUUUUUUCCAUUUCAUUAGGAAAAUUUUCACACUUUACUAAAAAUAAAAAAAAGAAAUGGCUGAAUGCCCCCAUCGGGGUACAUCUAAAUUAGGCUAUUAGCUUUUAUCGGUCGUUGUUGCAUUGGGCCUGGCUUCCUCGUUUCGCAUGCUCUUUAUGAUUAUGCUGGUUUGAACAUUGUUCUUCCCAUAUUUUAUGCCUACUAAUGACCUCAUCCCUGCCAAUAUUAUUUCUUCAUCCACCUCCCCUCGUUCAUGGCUACAUGAUAAGUAAAAUAAAUAAAAAAAUAAAAAAACCAGGACCUAAAGUGAUUUUGCAGGAUAUUUUCUCUGCGGUGGGACUGAAUCUUAAAAAGAAAGAAGAAAAGGAAUCUCAUGACCUGCGUAAAAUCAUACAAUUGGCGGCUUGGCAGCUCCGAAAUGAGCUGGGCCGCCGCCGACCUGCCAGGUCAAACACCAUUGAAACAAAACCUGCAUCAGAUUCAGAUCAGAGGGGGGCUUCUUUUUCUUUCCGGACACGAUGAUCUUGAGACCCGACUCGAAGAAAACUCAAGUCGGCUGGACCCCGGGCACUCCCCCUCCUUCUCAUCUACUCCCAUGAACAUGCAGGACUUAUGAGCUUCCGCCGCCAUGAUCCUUGUGCAGGUUGUCGAGGAUGUUCUCGUGAAGGUCUUCGACAUCAAGCGCCUGGAAGUUCUGGAGGUGGCCUGAGCAGGAGAGCCUCCGGCGCGGCUACGGCUGUCCCGGUUUGUGUGUACAGUGCGUCUCUCAGACGAGUAGAAGAGCCGCCGACUUUCUUGGCUUCUACAUUGAUCAGAUCCCCGCUGAAGCGGGUCACUAGUCUCAUUAAAAGGCUUGGUCAACUCCUAUUGCUCCGCAUCCCGGCCGUCCAUUUGUCGUUGACCGGAGAUCUGAGGUCUCGAUAGGUCCCUGUCUGAGCUGGGCCGUCGGGUUCAACCUAAUUCUUUCUGGGUUUGGGCUCCGAAUAUCAUGUCUGAAAGCAAUGCUGCGGCCAU
rnacentral:lncRNA from 1 species